AGCUCGGUCGGGUCGACGGCGCGAGAGACGGUCAGGUAGUCGCGCAGGGCGAUGCCGUGCCGGCCCUC
rnacentral:sRNA from 1 species